GCUCUUGGGUUUCUAAUUCUUUUAAUUGUGAUGUUGGGUAGUUAACUUGAGAUCUCAAUUUUGUUUUUGAGAUGGAGUGUUGUUCUCUCAACCAGGCUGGAGUGCAGUGGUGUGAUAUGGGCUCACUGCAACAUUUAUCUCCUGGGUUCAAGCAGUUCUCCUGCCUCAGCCUCCUGAGUACCUGGGAUUACAGAUGAAGAAGAUGAGACUCAGAGCAAUACAUAAGUUGCCCAAGGUCAGAGAGCAAGCCUCUGGCUGAUGGAUCCAAGAGGUAGAUGCGUGAUGUCAAAAUAUUCUCUUUUAUAGUGACCAUAUCAGAGCACGGUGUACAUCUCUUGCAGUAUUCAGAAUAUUUCUCUACGGGCAGCAACAUUUUUCUCUCCUUAUCUGGAUAUUAGGAAGAAUAUCACAGGACCGGCUUACAGCGCCAGUCACAUCGUGAGCAAUGUCAUCUGUAAUCCCCUAGUUAUUAAGAACAAUGUAACGGGGGUCUUGUGUGCUUUUGGAGAUAUUUGGAGUAAUAUCCUUUUAGUUUCUGGAUAUUAGAAACAACACUACAGUGGUGGUGUACACUUCCUGCGAUAUUAAGAGUAUACUCAUCCUCUGUCCCUGGGAUAUUAGGAACUACAUCGCAGAAGCGUUGCACUUUGCCUAUAAUAUUGGAACAAUCACAGAGUGUACACCUUCUUUCAUUGUGAGAGAAAUACCUACUUAGGAUAUGAUGGAUAAUAUCACAAAAUGGACACACAUGGCUAUAUACCCACUGUGAUAUUGGA